rnacentral:tRNA from 1 species
GGGCCUGUAGCUUAACAGGCAGAGCGCUCGGCUCCAAACCGAGAGGUUGCAGGUUAAAGUCCUGCCAGACCCGCCA